AACGCUCUCUUCGGAGGGAGUGGCAGACGGGUGAGUAACGCGUGGGAACCUACCUAGUAGUACGGAAUAACGUUUGGAAACGAACGCUAAUACCGUAUACGCCCUAUGGGGGAAAGAUUUAUCGCUAUUAGAUGGGCCCGCGUUGGAUUAGCUAGUUGGUGGGGUAAUGGCCUACCAAGGCGACGAUCUAUAGCUGGUCUGAGAGGAUGAUCAGCCACACUGGGACUGAGACACGGCCCAGACUCCUACGGGAGGCAGCAGUGGGGAAUAUUGGACAAUGGGGGCAACCCUGAUCCAGCCAUGCCGCGUGAGUGAUGAAGGCCUUAGGGUUGUAAAGCUCUUUCGCUAGGGAAGAUAAUGACGGUACCUAGUAAAGAAGCCCCGGCUAACUUCGUGCCAGCAGCCGCGGUAAUACGAAGGGGGCUAGCGUUGUUCGGAAUUACUGGGCGUAAAGCGCACGUAGGCGGAUUAGUAAGUUAGGGGUGAAAUCCCAAGGCUCAACCUUGGAACUGCCUUUAAUACUGCUAGUCUCGAGUUCGGGAGAGGUGUAUGGAACUCCUAGUGUAGAGGUGGAAUUCGUAGAUAUUAGGAAGAACACCAGUGGCGAAGGCGAUACACUGGCCC
rnacentral:rRNA from 1 species